CGGUGAAUACGUUCCCGGACCUUGCACACACCGCCCGUCAAGCCAUGGAAGUCAGGGAGACCUGAAGACGGUAACCGAAUAGGAGCCGUUUAGGGUAAAACUGGUAACUGGGGCU
rnacentral:rRNA from 1 species